GAGUUUGAUCUUGGCUCAGAUUGAACGCUGGCGGCAUGCCUUACACAUGCAAGUCGAGCGGCAGCGCGGGGGCAACCCUGGCGGCGAGCGGCGAACGGGUGAGUAAUGCAUCGGAACGUGUCCUCUUGUGGGGGAUAACCAGUCGAAAGACUGGCUAAUACCGCAUGAGAUCGAGAGAUGAAAGCAGGGGACCGCAAGGCCUUGCGCGAGAGGAGCGGCCGAUGCCGGAUUAGCUAGUUGGUGGGGUAAAAGCCUACCAAGGCGACGAUCCGUAGCUGGUCUGAGAGGACGACCAGCCACACUGGGACUGAGACACGGCCCAGACUCCUACGGGAGGCAGCAGUGGGGAAUUUUGGACAAUGGGGGCAACCCUGAUCCAGCCAUGCCGCGUGUGUGAAGAAGGCC
rnacentral:rRNA from 1 species